AUUGAACGCUGGCGGCAUGCUUUACACAUGCAAGUCGAACGGUAACAGGCCGCAAGGUGCUGACGAGUGGCGAACGGGUGAGUAAUGCAUCGGAACGUGCCCAGUCGUGGGGGAUAACGUAGCGAAAGCUGCGCUAAUACCGCAUACGAUCUAUGGAUGAAAGCGGGGGACCGUAAGGCCUCGCGCGAUUGGAGCGGCCGAUGUCAGAUUAGGUAGUUGGCGGGGUAAAGGCUCACCAAGCCAACGAUCUGUAGCUGGUCUGAGAGGACGACCAGCCACACUGGGACUGAGACACGGCCCAGACUCCUACGGGAGGCAGCAGUGGGGAAUUUUGGACAAUGGGCGCAAGUCUGAUCCAGCCAUUCCGCGUGCAGGAUGAAGGCCCUCGGGUUGUAAACUGCUUUUGUACAGAACGAAAAGGCUCUGGUUAAUACCUGGGGCUCAUGACGGUACUGUAAGAAUAAGCACCGGCUAACUACGUGCCAGCCGCCGCAGUAAUAC
rnacentral:rRNA from 1 species